GAUGAACGCUGGCGGCGUGCCUAAUACAUGCAAGUCGAGCGAACGGACGAGAAUCUUGCUUCUCUGAUGUUAGCGGCGGACGGGUGAGUAACACGUGGAUAACCUACCUAUAAGACUGGGAUAACUUCGGGAAACCGUAGCUAAUACCGGAUAAUAUUUUGAACCGCAUGGUUCAAAAGUGAAAGACGGUCUUGCUGUCACUUAUAGAUGGAUCCGCGCUUCAUUAGCUAGUUGGUAAGGUAACGGCUUACCAAGGCAACGAUGCAUAGCCGACCUGAGAGGGUGAUCGGCCACACUGGAACUGAGACACGGUCCAGACUCCUACGGGAGGCAGCAGUAGGGAAUCUUCCGCAAUGGGCGAAAGCCUGACGGAGCAACGCCGCGUGAGUGAUGAAGGUCUUCGGAUCGUAAAACUCUGUUAUUAGGGAAGAACAUAUGUGUAAGUAACUGUGCACAUCUUGACGGUACCUAAUCAGAAAGCCACGGCUAACUACGUG
rnacentral:rRNA from 1 species